rnacentral:tRNA from 1 species
GGCCUCGUAGCUCAGUUAGCUAGAGCGUUGGCUGUACUAAAGCCUUCCAUUGCUGACGUGGGUUCGUAUUCCACCGAUGCCG